AUUGAACGCUGGCGGCAGGCUUAACACAUGCAAGUCGAGCGGGGAAGGGUAGCUUGCUACCUAACCUAGCGGCGGACGGGUGAGUAAUGCUUAGGAAUCUGCCUAUUAGUGGGGGACAACAUUCCGAAAGGAAUGCUAAUACCGCAUACGCCCUACGGGGGAAAGCAGGGGAUCUUCGGACCUUGCGCUAAUAGAUGAGCCUAAGUCAGAUUAGCUAGUUGGUGGGGUAAAGGCCUACCAAGGCGACGAUCUGUAGCGGGUCUGAGAGGAUGAUCCGCCACACUGGGACUGAGACACGGCCCAGACUCCUACGGGAGGCAGCAGUGGGGAAUAUUGGACAAUGGGCGAAAGCCUGAUCCAGCCAUGCCGCGUGUGUGAAGAAGGCCUUUUGGUUGUAAAGCACUUUAAGCGAGGAGGAGGCUACUGGUAUUAAUACUACCGGAUAGUGGACGUUACUCGCAGAAUAAGCACCGGCUAACUCUGUGCCAGCCGCCGCAGUAAGAC
rnacentral:rRNA from 1 species